AUUGAACGCUGGCGGCAGGCCUAACACAUGCGAGUCGAGCGGAUGAAGGGAGCUUGCUCCUGGAUUCAGCGGCGGACGGGUGAGUAAUGCCUAGGAAUCUGCCUGGUAGUGGGGGAUAACGUCCGGAAACGGGCGCUAAUACCGCAUACGUCCUGAGGGAGAAAGUGGGGGAUCUUCGGACCUCACGCUAUCAGAUGAGCCUAGGUCGGAUUAGCUAGUUGGUGGGGUAAAGGCCUACCAAGGCGACGAUCCGUAACUGGUCUGAGAGGAUGAUCAGUCACACUGGAAGUGAGACACGGUCCAGACUCCUACGGGAGGCAGCAGUGGGGAAUAUUGGACAAUGGGCGAAAGCCUGAUCCAGCCAUGCCGCGUGUGUGAAGAAGGUCUUCGGAUUGUAAAGCACUUUAAGUUGGGAGGAAGGGCAGUAAGUUAAUACCUUGCUGUUUUGACGUUACCAACAGAAUAAGCACCGGCUAACUUCGUG
rnacentral:rRNA from 1 species